rnacentral:rRNA from 1 species
AGACCCCGUGAACCUUUACUAUAGCUUGACACUGAACACUGGUCCUUGAUGUGUAGGAUAGGUGGGAGGCUUUGAAGUGUGGACGCCAGUCUGCGUGGAGCCGUCCUUGAAAUACCACCCUUUAAUGGCUGGUGUUCUAACGUAGACCCGUAAUCCGGGUUGCGGACAGUGUCUGGUGGGUAGUUUGACUGGGGCGGUCUCCUCCCAAAGAGUAACGGAGGAGCACGAA